UACGUAGGGGGCAAGCGUUGUCCGGAUUUAUUGGGCGUAAAGAGCGUGUAGGCGGCCAUACAGGUCAGCUGUGAAAACUCGAGGCUCAACCUCGAGACGUCGGUUGAAACCGUUUGGCUAGAGUCCGGAAGAGGAGAGUGGAAUUCCCGGUGUAGCGGUGAAAUGCGCAGAUAUCGGGAAGAACACCCGUGGCGAAGGCGGCUCUCUGGGACGGUACUGACGCUGAGACGCGAAAGCGUGGGGAGCGAACAGGA
rnacentral:rRNA from 1 species